CGUUGACACGUAUUUUACUUUCAUAGAAAAUAACUUCAAUUUUGCUGCAAAAAUAAAUAUUAAAAUUUAAUUUUUAACAAGUUCCAAUUAGAAUUUUAAUGAGUUAGAACUUAUAUCAAUAUUUUUAUAAUCCUGAAAACAAAGUAAAUAACUUACUUUCUAGCUAUUUGUAGUCCAGCUUUUAAUAGCAAAUCGGCUCGCAAUGAAUUAACCUUGACUUUAACAACCUUGGAAUCUCGUUCGUCUUGAAGGUGAGGGUCAUCGUCAUCAUCAUCACUAUCUGAAUCCUAGGAGAAACAUUAGUUGAGCUAAUAAACCUUUAGAGAAAUUUCAAUCAUACCUCAUAUUUUGAUGAUUGCUUUUUAACUUUUUUACUAAACACUGUACUGGUGUUGAUUAAUUUGACUGCUGGAUAAACAACAAUAUGAGUCUGAUUCUUUGUGUUUUCGUACUUAAGAAUCGCAGGAAGUUCA